rnacentral:rRNA from 1 species
UACGGGGGGGGCGAGCGUUGCUCGGAAUCACUGGGCGUAAAGCGCACGUAGGCGGAUUGUUAAGUCAGGGGUGAAAUCCUGGAGCUCAACUCCAGAACUGCCUUUGAUACUGGCGAUCUCGAGUCCGGGAGAGGUGAGUGGAACUGCGAGUGUAGAGGUGAAAUUCGUAGAUAUUCGCAAGAACACCAGUGGCGAAGGCGGCUUACUGGUCCGGAACUGACGCUGAGGUGCGAAAGCGUGGGGAGCAAACAGG